ACGGCUAUUGCUUGCUAGGAAACGCCAUUUUAGGGUAUUUUAAGUUAACUAACUACAAUUGGGACUGCGAGAGACGAAUUACCGAUCAAAUGUCCUUUAAAAGGUUCGACCCCAUGAAUAAUUCGUACACUGAGUGAAAUACAGGCCUGCUUAUAAACACGCCAGGCUGUUGUAGUAGGUGACUGGUUUACAUCACUAACCAAAUGAGAACUAUCAGUGAUUUGGAGUCGGUGGAAACGUUUUCGUGUACCAAUAAAAUGAGGAAAGGGUGAAGAUAAAUCAUUGUUCGACAAUAAAUCAAUGCGGCAUGAGGGAUGAGCGUGUGUGGGGGAUGGGACUCAACGCGCAGAUGACAGGCCAUAUGGAGUCGGCCUUCUUUUUUGGACACAAUUUGAUGAACUAAUACUUUCUAAGGGCUUAUUGCGGUGUUAACCAAAUAUUUAUUUCACGUGAAAAUGUUUACGUCGAAGAAUAAACAGUCAAGGGUGUCAUGGCGCAUGUACGAUGACCUUAUUUCUUCAAGAGACUUGUGGUUUAUUUGCAAGUACGCAUUCCAUAAGAGCAUUACAUUACAAUAAUAAUAAAAAAAAAAUCAAAUCAAACCUAAAAUAAAAACGUAUGUUUCGAUUAGUUUGAGUCAAACUCAAAUUGCACUUGUGCAUCAAGAAAUGAAUAAAAAGGAAAACGUACAUUGUUUAGAAAUCACGAAUAUGAAAUAAAACCAAACCGUGCAUCAUGAAAAGUGCAGAAACUAUUUUCCAAACGGCUAAUGUUUAGUAAGCCGACAGAUGCCACCUCUUUCCACCAGAGUAUAAUCCUCUCUGAAGGGAAGGGAACAGAGGAGCAGGACGGAGAGCUUCAGUGUGUGUGAUAAACUGGGCUGCUCUCCUCCUCUCUGUCAGAUCGCGCUCUGCAUCACACCAUUUCACAUGAUGACCGACUCUGCUUACGAGCACCGAAGCCUUCUGCUCUGGCUAUUUGCUUCUAACAUGCAUUUUUCUGCUUUCCUUUUUCGUUUAAUCUUGAAGAAAUCCGAGUGAUGCAACACUGUAAUCGGAAAUGAUUUAUGUCGCAUCCAACAGCAUCAAGGUGCGCAAAAGCGUGCGGAACAUUUGAUGAUUUUGGAAUGACGCUCUUCUGCACCGACUGCCUUGUGGACAUUUCCCCAAACUGGAUAUAUGGACAAUUAUUAUCUCGAGGGAUAAAAACCUAUUAUUUAUAUCCUGCUUCGCAAGGUGUAUUUGUCUCAUAUGACAGCAGACUGUAAAUGCAUUGAGGUGCCACUGUAUCAAAUUAUGUCAGGCUAUAUUAAUAGGUUCUUUGAUUUUCAGACUGAAUGGACGUCACUGAAUGGAUCGCCUAAUUAAAAUCCAAUUCGCGGGGAAUUUUCCUUUCUGUGUAUAUGGUGCAAGGUCGGCUUUGACAAGUGGUCCCCUCCACUUUUUUUCCCAAUAUUUAGUUUACCCCCUUCUGAUGCAGGUGCUUUCAACUGCCCCCACCUUCUAACAUAUACCCCGCCCGACCCCCCACACGAGGCGGCGGUGUCUCUAGUCCCACAGUUUCCCCCUUCUUUCUUACCUCUGCUGCAUUUUGCAUGAGCUAUCUAGGUCAUUAGCAUUUUAGCGUAUGCAAGACUUGACAAAGCUGGUGAGGAGCCAGAUGGGCCCUCUACUAUUUUUUAUAUCUCAUGGGAGUUGAGCAAGGGACCAACUGCAUGCAGCAAGCCACUGAGCGCUUUCUUUUUAUUGCCAUCACUCGGGCCUUAUGUUGCACCAACACAUGAUGGAGAGAUGCGCACCGCGUCCUGUGGAAAUAACGCGCUCGUGCCAUUCGAAAAAUAGGUAAUGUAAUACCUGGGAACGCUUGUUUGAUAUAUUAUGUGUGUGUAUAUUGAUGCACAGAUGCUUUAAGAAUGCAAUGCUGGAUGCUGAUGCUACACAAGUCGGAAGAGGAGGACGUAGACAUUUUGGUGCAACAUCGUUGCUGGCAUAGCUACUAGGUUGUGCGAUUCUCAACAUUGUGGUUGAAAACAGGCCUGCUUUUCUUCGUGUUCACAGCGGACCUUGAUUUAAAUGUCCAUACAAUUAAGGCACGCGGUGAAUGCCAAGAGAGAUGGCAAAUAUCAUCUUUGUCUGUUUUUAUAACAGCACAACGCAGAUAGUGUCCGCGUUUGCGAUGCAUGACAGUUCUUAUUUUCUUUCGCUCGGUUUUUGUGAGAGCGCGCGCGCGCUCUUGUGUGUGUGUGGAGGUGAACCGACGCAUCAAUGCGGCCAAACUGAUCUUUAAUAUUUCAUUGCGUUCUUCCAUAAUUUUUUUGUUGCGCAUACGUGCGUAUCCUUGAAUAUUAUGAAGAAUCAUUAUGAGCAUAAGAGUUCAAAACACUAACAGUUAACCUUGUGGUCUGAUGACCCGUCCUUUUGGUAUUUGUCUGUUAUAGAGGACGCUUUUAAAAUCUAGAAAUGCCACAUUUGAAGACAUGUAGCACACGAUGUCUUCAGGAGAAGAUGAAGAAUAUAAUAUGGGUAGAAAAGUUGUGAGGCCUAUGACAACCAAUUUAAACAGAUCACAUUACGAACCGUUCCGGAUUUCUUGAACACUUAAAGCGACAGAAGUGGGUCCUUAGAGUGACACUUGUCAUGUGUCCUCAUUCUAAAGGCACAGAAAAUAUUACGCAUGUACGUUUGUAUCGUAUCCUUGAUACUGUAAAUAUUUUAGUUUGUCAAUAAAAGCACAUAUUCACGAAGCAAA